UGACGGUACCUGACUAAGAAGCCCCGGCUAACUACGUGCCAGCAGCCGCGGUAAUACGUAGGGGGCAAGCGUUAUCCGGAUUUACUGGGUGUAAAGGGAGCGUAGACGGAAUUGCAAGUCUGAUGUGAAAGGCAUGGGCUCAACCCGUGGACUGCAUUGGAAACUGUGAUUCUUGAGUGCCGGAGGGGUAAGCGGAAUUCCUGGUGUAGCGGUGAAAUGCGUAGAUAUCAGGAGGAACACCGGUGGCGAAGGCGGCUUACUGGACGGCAACUGACGUUGAGGCUCGAAGGCGUGGGGAGCAAACAGGAUUAGAUACCCUG
rnacentral:rRNA from 1 species